rnacentral:rRNA from 1 species
UACGAAGGGGGCUAGCGUUGCUCGGAAUCACUGGGCGUAAAGCGCACGCAGGCGGAUUGUUAAGUCAGGGGUGAAAUCCUGGAGCUCAACUCCAGAACUGCCUUUGAUACUGGCGAUCUUGAGUCCGGGAGAGGUGAGUGGAACUGCGAGUGUAGAGGUGAAAUUCGUAGAUAUUCGCAAGAACACCAGUGGCGAAGGCGGCUCACUGGCCCGGUACUGACGCUGAGGUGCGAAAGCGUGGGGAGCAAACAGG